CCAUCACUUGGGGAUAACCUUGCGAAAGUAAGACUAAUACCCAAUGGUGAUGGAUGGGGAUGCGUCUGAUUAGCUUGUUGGCGGGGUAACGGCCCACCAAGGCAACGAUCAGUAGGGGUUCUGAGAGGAAGGUCCCCCACAUUGGAACUGAGACACGGUCCAAACUCCUACGGGAGGCAGCAGUGAGGAAUAUUGGUCAAUGGACGAGAGUCUGAACCAGCCAAGUAGCGUGCAGGAUGACGGCCUAUGGGUUGUAAACUGCUUUUAUAAGGGAAUAAGUACCUUAUGAAUAAGGACCGGCUAAUUCCGUGCCAGCAGCCGCGGUAAUACGGAAGGUCCGGGCGUUAUCCGGAUUUAUUGGGUUUAAAGGGAGCGUAGGCCGGAGAUUAAGCGUGUUGUGAAACGUAGACGCUCAACGUCUGCACUGCAGCGCGAGCUGGUUUCCUUGAGUACGCACAAAGUGGGCGGAAUUCGUGGUGUAGCGGUGAAAUGCUUAGAUAUCACGAAGAACUCCGAUUGCGAAGGCAGCUCACUGGAGCGCAACUGACGCUGAAGCUCGAAAGUGCGGGUAUCGAACAGGAUUAGAUACCCUGGUAGUCCGCA
rnacentral:rRNA from 1 species